GAUGUACUCCCUCCGUCUGAAAAAGUUUGCCCCUCAAAUGGAUGUAUCUAACAUCAAGUUAGUUUUAGAUACAUCCAUUCGAGGGAGAAUGUUGGGACAAACUUUUCCUAACAGAGGGAGUAUUUU
rfam:Triticum aestivum genome assembly, contig: Triticum_aestivum_CS42_TGACv1_scaffold_605209_7DL